UCACCUAGAUUUUCAACGGUAACAUCCAAAUGAUACAGAAGGGUUUCCUCUCCACCAAUCCAUUCUGUAAUCUGCCGGCGAUUCCUAUCAAUUAGAAGGUCGAGCCUGAACAAGUGUAAGCCUUCGUGAAAGAAACAAUCUCCUGCAAGUAUGCUGCUGUUGUGAAGCCGAGUUUCCAACUUUGUUAAGAACUCUGUGUCGUUUGAUCGUGAGUUUGUUUCUAUGCUUUCAAGGCAGCGGGGAUACUGGACCGCGAGAAGACGUUGGCGAUGUGUACCGAAGGCGAACAAAACCCGGAACAACUUAACAAAGUCGAGAAAUGUUCAGAUCAACGUCAGACGCAUGGCGAACACGUUUAUUCACCGAACUCUGUCGUUCUGAAUUGCACGGACAUGCCCAAGGAAUGCCCCUGCACCAUAAGUUACAAAAGUACGAGGGAGUGUGUCGUCGUUAUUAAACUUUAGUUCUUGUGAAACAAAAAACGCGAUGCAGGGAAAACAUCCUAGGAGGAAUCAUCGUAAAGAGAAAGUAAUCCGCAGGAUAAGGCACGGACAGAGAGGCUAUGAGAAAACGUAGAUAAUGAAGUUAGUUACACCGUGACGCAUUUGCGCUUCGAUAGUUAGGCUAUCUGCCAUCAGACCGGGACGCAUUUGCGCUUCGAUAGUUAGGCUAUCUGCCAUCAGACCGGCAUGCAAAAGUUGAAAUAAUGUUGACUUAAACUUAAGCCCUAUAUUGUAUUGACGGCUAGCAAUGAAGAAGUACAGCGGCUAUAAGCCGGGUCCAUAGCCAUGCGUUAUUUGUUAUUGGCCGAACAAGUGCUUUAUGAAGUUAUCAAAAUAAGCGCUGACUGAUAAUACUUCUUGGGCAAAUACACAAUGCAUUUUUAUCGACAGCCUAUUUAUCUAGUUACUUAAGUUUGUUCUAUUAUGAAAGAAUAAUAUACCAACAGGGGUUGUUUCGGAGUCAUCACUACAUUCAGUUGUCGACACUGCACGA